ACGAAUCUCUGGAGAGACUCCCUUCUAUCGUUAAACGACAUGAAGGAAACAGAGCACCGAAGGAGCAAAUCCGCCCAAUAUAGUGGAUAAUCUCUCAGGUAAAAGGACAGAGACA
rnacentral:ncRNA from 1 species